rnacentral:rRNA from 1 species
GACGAACGCUGGCGGCGUGCCUAAUACAUGCAAGUCGAGCGAGACUCUUCGGAGUCUAGCGGCGGACGGGUGAGUAACACGUGGGCAACCUGCCUGUAAGACUGGGAUAACACCGGGAAACCGGUGCUAAUACCGGAUAAUUCUUUUCCUCUCAUGAGGAAAAGCUGAAAGUCGGUUUCGGCUGACACUUACAGAUGGGCCCGCGGCGCAUUAGCUAGUUGGUGAGGUAAUGGCUCACCAAGGCGACGAUGCGUAGCCGACCUGAGAGGGUGAUCGGCCACACUGGGACUGAGACACGGCCCAGACUCCUACGGGAGGCAGCAGUAGGGAAUCUUCCACAAUGGACGAAAGUCUGAUGGAGCAACGCCGCGUGAGCGAUGAAGGCCUUCGGGUCGUAAAGCUCUGUUGUUAGGGAAGAACAAGUACCGGAGUAACUGCCGGUACCUUGACGGUACCUAACCAGAAAGCCACGGCUAACUACGUGCCAGCCGCCGCCGUAACAC